UACGGAGGGUGCGAGCGUUGUCCGGAAUCACUGGGCGUAAAGGGUGCGUAGGCGGCCGUGUAAGUCUGGCGUGAAAGCCCCGGGCUCAGCCCGGGAAGUGCGCUCGAAACUGCGCGGCUCGAGUGCCGGAGGGGAGAGUGGAAUUCCUGGUGUAGCGGUGAAAUGCGUAGAUAUCAGGAGGAAUACCGGUGGCGAAAGCGACUCUCUGGACGGCAACUGACGCUGAGGCACGAAAGCGUGGGGAGCAAACAGG
rnacentral:rRNA from 1 species